UGUUAUCAAUGUAUGUUUGUAAUCUUCAUUCAUGCUCCACCUUCUGUGCACAAAUUCAGUUCUUUCUCUUCAGCAAUCUCAUGGCUCUUGUGAAUUUAGCUUGGAAUUUAAGGAUUUCCAUUUACUUAUACUCGGAUUGACCUACUGGUCUAUCAGUAGAUCUAAGAUAAGUCUUCUAACCUUUAGAAUUUAAAUUAUCGCUAAUGUUUGAGUAAAUAGUAAUGUUGUAUUUAUGCGAAUACUGAACAGAAAGAUGGCAUCAAACUAAAUUCCAUUGAAACCCAAACUUCUGUACAUACACAUGAACAAUUCUCCCACGUAAAAGAUCUUGUAACCUCACACAAGCCUGGGAGGAAAGCUCAAAACAUCUUGAUGCCUAAAUGCUUAUUGCUAUUUACUUUGUGAUAAUUGGAAAAAAAUUGGUUCUUGGCAAUUUGGUGUUUGAUGGGAUUAAAGCUCAAAACUUUAUUGUUCUCACUUGUGGGGAAAAAAAAAGAUAUGAAAAUCUCCCUUUACUUUGGGGCUUCUGUGUGUAGUGUUAUAUUGCUAUCUCUUGCUGCUAUAUUGGUGAUUAGUAAUGCUUUUUAAAGUAGCUUAUUUGCAUUCUUUUCUCUUUUCUUUGUAAUUGUAGUUUUCUGAAUCGUUUUCUUCUCCUCUUAUCUAAAAACACUUUAUGUCAAUAUUUUGAGAUAACAGGGUAAUAUUCAUUUAUUUUUCUUUUAUGUAGGGAAGCAAUAGAAGGAGAUAUGAUGCAACACAAAAGAAACCCAAUUUGCCUAGAGCAUAGCACUAGCCUUACAUCUCGUACACCAAAACGACUAAAGGUCCAUGUGCCCAUUUUCUCCAAGGUUUCUCCUACUUCCUUUUUGCUGCAAUGUUGUUAUUCUUAGUGCAGACUAAAUAUAGUUAUAUUUUUCAUGAACUUCUUAACAUAUGUCAUUUGUAGCUUGUGGAUAAGAAAUUUUUUCUUGGAUACUUUCAAAAUAUAGGCUAGCGAUGAUGUACAUAAUGAGGAACAUCAGAUUUUUCGCUAGAAUUAUACAUUGUUCUGGUGUGUUAUACA